AGUGAACGCUGGCGGUAGGCCUAACACAUGCAAGUCGAACGGCAGCACAGUAAGAGCUUGCUCUUACGGGUGGCGAGUGGCGGACGGGUGAGGAAUACAUCGGAAUCUACUUUUUCGUGGGGGAUAACGUAGGGAAACUUACGCUAAUACCGCAUACGACCUACGGGUGAAAGCAGGGGAUCUUCGGACCUUGCGCGAUUGAAUGAGCCGAUGUCGGAUUAGCUAGUUGGCGGGGUAAAGGCCCACCAAGGCGACGAUCCGUAGCUGGUCUGAGAGGAUGAGCAGCCACACUGGGAACGGAGCGCGGCCCAAGCCCCGGCGGGGGGGAGCCAGGGGGGAAUUUUGGAGAAGGGGCGCAGGCUUUCCCAACCAUUCCGGGGGGGGGAAAAAGGGCUUUGGGUUUUAAAACCCUUUUUUUGGGAAAAAAAAAGCAACAGUUAAACCCCCCCUUUUUCUGGGGGCCCCAAAAAAAAAAGCACCGGCUACUUUCGUC
rnacentral:rRNA from 1 species